rnacentral:rRNA from 1 species
UACGAGGGGGGCAAAUGUUGUUCGGAAUCACUGGGCGUAAAGGGAGCGUAGGCGGGUUUUUAAGUCAGGUGUUUAAUCCCGGGGCCCAACCCCGGACAGGCACUUGAAACUGGGAAUCUUGAAUAGUGGAGAGGUCGGUGGAAUUGGGGGUGUAGCGGUGGAAUGCGUAGAGAUCCCCAAGAACACCCGUUGCGAAGGCGGCCGACUGGACACAUAUUGACGCUGAGGCUCGAAAGCAUGGGGAGCAAACAGG